rnacentral:rRNA from 1 species
CAGAGGUGCGUAACACGUAUGCAAUCUACCCGCAACAGGAGGAUAGCUCGGGGAAACUCGAAUUAACACUCCAUAAGAUCACACGAGGGCAUCUGAGAGUGAUUAAAACUGAGGUGGUUGCGGAUGAGCAUGCGUAUGAUUAGUUAGUUGGCGGGGUAACGGCCCACCAAGACGAUGAUCAUUAGGGGAACUGAGAGGUUGAUCCCCCACACUGGCACUGAGAUACGGGCCAGACUCCUACGGGAGGCAGCAGUAGGGAAUAUUGGACAAUGGGUGCGAGCCUGAUCCAGCCAUGCCGCGUGCAGGAAGAAGGCCUUCUGGGUUGUAAACUGCUCUUGCCAGGGGAUAAAAUAGUCUUGCGAGACGAAUUGAAGGUACCUGGUGAAUAAGCCACGGCUAACUACGUGCCAGCAGCCGCGGUAAUACGUAGGUGGCAAGCGUUGUCCGGAUUUAUUGGGUUUAAAGGGUGCGUAGGCGGCCCUGUAAGUCAGUGGUGAAAUACGGCAGCUCAACUGUCGAGGUGCCAUUGAUACUGCGGGGCUAGAGUACAGACGAGGUAGGCGGAAUGGACGGUGUAGCGGUGAAAUGCAUAGAUAUCGUCCAGAACACCGAUAGCGAAGGCAGCUUACCAGACUGUAACUGACGCUGAGGCACGAAAGUGUGGGGAUCAAACAGGAUUAGAUACCCUGGUAGUCCACACUGUAAACGAUGAUCACUAGAUGUUGGCGAUAUACAGCCAGCGUUCCAGCAAAAGCGAUAAGUGAUCCACCUGGGGAGUACGCCGGCAACGGUGAAACUCAAAGGAAUUGACGGGGGUCCGCACAAGCGGUGGAGUAUGUGGUUUAAUUCGAUGCAACGCGAAGAACCUUACCAGGGUUUGACAUCCUGCGAACCCUGAGAAAUCGGGGGGUGCCUUCGGGAACGCAGUGACAGGUGGUGCAUGGCUGUCGUCAGCUCGUGUCGUGAGAUGUUGGGUUAAGUCCCGCAACGAGCGCAACCCACGUCUUUAGUUGCCAGCAUUCAGUUGGGCACUCUAGAGAGACCGCCGGUGAUAAACCGGAGGAAGGUGUGGAUGACGUCAAGUCAUCAUGCCCCUUACAUCCUGGGCUACACACGUACUACAAUGCUACGGACAAAGAGCAGCGAUCCCGCGAGGGCUAGCAAAUCUCAUAAACCGUGGCUCAGUUCAGAUCGUAGGCUCAAC